ACGAACGCUGGCGGCGUGCUUCACACAUGCAAGUCGAACGGAAAGGCCCUGCUUUUGUGGGGUGCUCGAGUGGCGAACGGGUGAGUAACACGUGAGUAACCUGCCCUUGACUUUGGGAUAACUUCAGGAAACUGGGGCUAAUACCGGAUAGGAGCUCCUGCUGCAUGGUGGGGGUUGGAAAGUUUCGGCGGUUGGGGAUGGACUCGCGGCUUAUCAGCUUGUUGGUGGGGUAGUGGCUUACCAAGGCUUUGACGGGUAGCCGGCCUGAGAGGGUGACCGGCCACAUUGGGACUGAGAUACGGCCCAGACUCCUACGGGAGGCAGCAGUAGGGAAUAUUGCACAGUGGGCGGAAGCCUGAUGCAGCAACGCCGCGUGCGGGAUGACGGCCUUCGGGUUGUAAACCGCUUUCGCCUGUGACGAAGCGUGAGUGACGGUAAUGGGUAAAGAAGCACCGGCUAACUACGUG
rnacentral:rRNA from 1 species